rnacentral:rRNA from 1 species
UACGUAGGGCGCAAGCGUUAUCCGGAAUUAUUGGGCGUAAAGAGCUUGUAGGCGGUUUGUCGCGUCUGCCGUGAAAAUCCGGGGCUCAACCCCGGCCUGCGGUGGGUACGGGCAGACUAGAGUGUGGUAGGGGAGACUGGAAUUCCUGGUGUAGCGGUGAAAUGCGCAGAUAUCAGGAGGAACACCGAUGGGCGAAGGCAGGUCUCUGGGCCACUACUGACGCUGAGAAGCGAAAGCGUGGGGAGCGAACAGG